GGCCAUGUGUCUCCUACCGUGCUGAACAGAUGCUCAACAGCAGCUAGAAGGAAACCCAGUGGAGGCAAACACACUCAUCUUUCUAAACUAAAAUCCCACUUUCCAAAUAUCAGAACGGACAGGAACUCAGAGAUCUUAAGGACAGCAGCCACCACAGAAAAUUUUGGCUUUGAAGUGAGAAUCAGAGGACACAGAGGAAAAAUAGAGAUGCUGAAUGUUGGUUCCACUGUCAAGCUGGGGAAAUGAUAUAUACCUCUCUCCAUUCCCACAACAUAGGAGAAAUGAGGGGCAAAACAGCAUUCCAGGAGUGGACUAAAUGUAUAAAAGAAGAGCAAAGGAAAUCGGAGAA
rnacentral:lncRNA from 1 species